rnacentral:rRNA from 1 species
GAUGAACGCUGGCGGCGUGCCUAAUACAUGCAAGUCGAGCGAACAGACGAGGAGCUUGCUCCUCUGACGUUAGCGGCGGACGGGUGAGUAACACGUGGAUAACCUACCUAUAAGACUGGGAUAACUUCGGGAAACCGGAGCUAAUACCGGAUAACAUGUUGAACCGCAUGGUUCAACAGUGAAAGACGGUCUUGCUGUCACUUAUAGAUGGAUCCGCGCCGCAUUAGCUAGUUGGUAAGGUAACGGCUUACCAAGGCAACGAUGCGUAGCCGACCUGAGAGGGUGAUCGGCCACACUGGAACUGAGACACGGUCCAGACUCCUACGGGAGGCAGCAGUAGGGAAUCUUCCGCAAUGGGCGAAAGCCUGACGGAGCAACGCCGCGUGAGUGAAGAAGGUCUUCGGAUCGUAAAACUCUGUUAUUAGGGAAGAACAAAUGUGUAAGUAACUAUGCACGUCUUGACGGUACCGAAUCAGAAAGCCACGGCUAACUACGUG